rnacentral:tRNA from 1 species
AGGGGUGUGGCUCAGGGGAAGGGCACCUGGCUGGCAUAUGGGAGGCCCUGGGUUUGAUCCCCAGCACUUCCA